rfam:Theobroma cacao cultivar Matina 1-6 chromosome 9, whole genome shotgun sequence.
CCUAGGUGUGAGGAUAUUUAUCCACCAUUUCUGUAUAUGAAUGAUGAAUAUUUACAUGCACUACCAUCUGAUCUCUG